AUUGAACGCUGGCGGCAGGCUUAACACAUGCAAGUCGAGCGAGUGGCGGACGGGUGAGUAAUGUCUGGGAAACUGCCUGAUGGAGGGGGAUAAAUACUGGAAACGGUAGCUAAUACCGCAUACCAACGGAUGUGCCCAGAUGGGAUUGGCUAGUAGGUGGGGUAAAGGCUAACCUAGGCGACGAUCCCUAGCUGGUCUGAGAGGAUGACCAGCCACACUGGACCUGAGACACGGUCCAGACUCCUACGGGAGGCAGCAGUGGGGAAUAUUGCACAAUGGGCGCAAGCCUGAUGCAGCCAUGCCGCGUGUAGGAAGAGGGCCUUCGGGUUGUAAAGUACUUUCAGCGGGGAGGCGUUACCCGCAGAAGAAGCACCGGCUAACUCCGUGCCAGCAGCCGCGGUAAUUC
rnacentral:rRNA from 1 species